rnacentral:lncRNA from 1 species
CGCCCCCGCAGCCUCAGGCCCGCCUCCGCAGCCGCCGGCCCCGCCCCCGCAGCCGCGGGCUGGCCCAGGCGGACGAACCCGAGGCUCUCGUCCCGUCCGCCGAGCGCGGGAGAGCCUGUGCGCACGCCAUUCCGGCUCGCCGCCUCCGGUGGAGGGAGACGGAGCGAGCGGUGCAGCGUCUGGUUUGGAAUUUUGGCGCGCGUGGACCCGGAGGCUCCCCGCCCUUUGGCCACCUGCCGGCUGCUUCCCGCCUUCUAGGCUGCAAACGCAAAUGCAAAUGCAAAAUGCAAAAAACAACAAGUCCUUC